GUACUUUAUCGCAUUCUGUAUUUGCUGAAUAUGAUUCUCACUGCCAUCAGUUUCUGCUGUGAGCAUUUAGCAUUUCUGUAAAUCAGAUCAACACCUCUAAACAUGGAUAUUCCUAAAUCAAGAACCUACUGUGUUUCCCUACCCAUCCACAAUCCUUCUCUUCACCUGCUAUUUCUCACCCUUUCAGUUACUGUAUUGCACCAAAGCUGCCAUAUUCCUCCUCCUACCAGGGCAGUAAGAUCUGGAUCGUGGGAAGGACAGCAUCUCUACUUUCGGGUCUAGUUUUCAGCCCCAGGUAACUCCUAAGGGCAGCAAUUUCAGGGGAAAUUUGCAAUGAAAAGUCCCCCUUUUGUGAUUUGUGUAUAUGUAGAACAGAUGAUUGAAGACUGAAAACUAUAAUUUUCCCUUCCCUUUACCUAGCAUCUUUUCUAUAACCCUCUGAUCCCUUCUUCUUUUCUAUCCUGCAACUUGUUGCUGAAGAUACUGAGCCCAUCUUGGUGUCCUCCACUCCUUUUAACUUUUCCAACACAGCUCCUUCAGAGGUUUGGGUUGGAGUUGCCCAGCUAUGGCCAAGACCCAUAACUUUUCAGCUGAAUUACUUCACAGUUACAACUGAGUAAGGAAGAGGAGAAAUUGCUUCAUUAUCUGCUUUUCAAUUUUCUCCUGUGGGGCUUGGAAUGAAGAUUGACCUUUCACCACACCAGGAGAUUGCACCAUUAUCUGCAGCAAGAGCUUUUCUCACUGAAUGAAAACAUAUUCUGAUGUUGAUCAUGAGAAACACUGUUUCACUACAUACAGAAAUGAAAAGAACGUAUUCUCAAAUCAAGAAAAAUAAAUCCCUAAUCAAUAGAAACAGGCAAACAAAUUCUGUUCACACCUCUGCGUCUGUCAGUGUUACUAACCAACACACCUUGAAUUAUCAUCAAUGUAGCUGAGAGUAAACUUUGGCCAGUAACUAUGAUGCAUUUUAUCUUACUAUAAACAGAAUUCUUAACAUGCAAACUGAUAACCAAUCACAGAUGCAUGAAAAUAGCAGAGCAGCUAGGUAGGGAAGAGAGUGAUAGGUUUUCCAGAAAUAAUUGCCACUGGACAAUAGAGAUUCUCUGUGCAAAAGCUUUCUAAUAGGAAGAAAUAUCUUUCAGUACAUUUCAUUUAUUAUUUCAGUAACACUAUUCUUCAUUAAUAGAAAAAACCUAUUAAUAUUGCCCUGCAUCACUUCAGUGACACCAAAGACAAUACACCAUUUUAAGAAGAAAUCGUCUGUCUCCAAAUGUAUGUUUUGCACCCUGAAAGGAAUAAUGUUAUUAAAAAGAAUCACUACAGCCUUUCCUUUAGGAAACUUCGAACUUUUCUUCCUGAAAGAUUUAUGAAGACUAAAGAAAGCUCAAGCAUCUCUUCAAUGAAAUGAGAGCCUACACAGCUGAGGAAGAUACAGUGAUCUGUGACAGUAUAAUUCCCUCUUUCUAAAAAUUUGACUGCGCCUGAAGUGAUGGGACAUAUAUGGG